rnacentral:rRNA from 1 species
AUGAGAUCAAACAAUACAAUUUCCUGUUUCACCAUGCAGCAGUCUCCUAAUAAUAUGGUCUGUGCUGGGGCUAGAGCUAACUCGUCCCGCUCCGGCCACCUUGCCAUGAUCUCCGGCCAAUCACGUCGGUCCCGCCGUGUGAAGGCCCUAGCCGUCCCUGCCUCUGGCAACCGGGACGUCUGCAGCGACAGCAUCGGCCAAGAAACAAAACUAAGGGCGGACAAAUUCUUCGACGUGGAGAUGACCGUCGAUCUUGACCAGUAUGGAGUCGUUAACAACGCCAUUUAUGUUGCUUACAUCCACAAUGCUCGAGAGGAGCUGGCUGCGAGCAUGGCCUCCGUAGCACGCACAGGCAACGCGAUGGCACUCUUGGAACUGAACCUCAAGUACUUCAAGCCUCUACUGCGAGGCGCCAAAUUUGUUGUCAAGGUGAGGGUUGUCCAGAUAAAGGGUGCGAGGAUACUUGUUGAACACUUCAUCGAGACACUACCGGAUCAUGAGCUUGUUUUGGAAGCGGCGGCGACCGUCGUCUGCCUCAACAAGGACUACCGUCCGACCCGCGUCUUCCCGGAGAUGUCGUCCAAGCUUCAACAGUUCUUCUCGUCCUAG